GAUGAACGCUGGCGGCGUGCCUAAUACAUGCAAGUCGAGCGAACAGACGAGGAGCUUGCUCCUCUGACGUUAGCGGCGGACGGGUGAGUAACACGUGGAUAACCUACCUAUAAGACUGGGAUAACUUCGGGAAACCGGAGCUAAUACCGGAUAAUAUAUUGAACCGCAUGGUUCAAUAGUGAAAGACGGUUUUGCUGUCACUUAUAGCUGGCUCCGCGCCGCACUAGCUAGUUGGUAAGGUAACGGCUUACCAAGGCAACGAUGCGUAACCGACCUGAACGGGUGAUCGGCCACACGGGAACUGAGACACGGUCCAGACUCCUACGGGAGGCAGCAGUAGGGAAUCUUCCGCAAUGGGGGAAAGCCUGACGGAGCAACGCCGCGUGAGUGAUGAAGGUCUUCGGAUCGUAAAACUCUGUUAUUAGGGAAGAACAAAUGUGUAAGUAACUAUGCACGUCUUGACGGUACCUAAUCAGAAAGCCACGGCUAACUACGUG
rnacentral:rRNA from 1 species